CUGUAUCGCUUUUCGUUCAUCCUGACCUAUGGUGUGUUGCUGUGUUCAGGAGGAUCUUUGGUUGUCGGCCUUCCCCAUUGGAACCGAGUGGGAAAACAUUGACAAGAUAAAGGAGUUCAACUGGAACUUUCAAAAUUUAGAGGGCGGGGGUGGUGCAGUGGCCGCAUGAACAUGCUCAGGGGCAUCAUCGGCGGGGCGCUCAGGAGACGGGCGAGGUGGAUGCUUCCCACCUAGAUGGUACACAACAUGGGGGAGUCCAUCUCCGACCGUCCCAAGCACGACCAUGAUAGACCUACAACGGCAGGAGCUCUGGGCUGAAGAAAUUUGAAGAAGCUUGAAGCCGGACAAAGUAAAGAGUAGCGAGUAAUAAUGUAGUGCUAGUUAUGUUGUACAGUAGCCAGC